UACGUAGGGGGCGAGCGUUGUCCGGAUUCAUUGGGCGUAAAGCGCGCGUAGGCGGCUUCGUAAGUCGGCCGUGAAAUCUCCAGGCUUAACUUGGAGGGGUCGGGCGAGACUGCGGAGCUCGAGGUGGGCAGAGGGCAGUGGAAUUCCGGGUGUAGUGGUGGAAUGCGUAGAGAUCCGGAGGAACACCAGUGGCGAAGGCGGCGUCCUGGACCAACACUGACACUGAUGAGCGAAAGCCAGGGGAGCAAACGGG
rnacentral:rRNA from 1 species